rnacentral:tRNA from 1 species
GCCUUCGUGGUGUAAUGGUCAGCACACUUUUCGCGUAAGCGAGAGGUCCGAGGUUCGAGUCCCGGCGAGGACA